GACGAACGCUGGCGGCGUGCCUAAUACAUGCAAGUCGAACGCAGUGGGGACGGGUGAGUAAACCGUCGGUAACCUCCCCAUCAGCGGGGAUAACACUUGGAAACAGGUACUAAACCGAUACUGAUGGAUGGACCCGCGGUGCAUUAGCUAGUUGGUGGGGUAACGGCUCACCAAGGCCACGAUGCAUAGCAGACCUGAGAGGGGGAUCGGCAACACUGGGACUGAGACACGGCCCAGACUCCGACGGGAGGCAGCAGUAGGGAAUCGUCGACAAGGGACGAAAGUCUGACCGAGCAACGCGGCGUGAGUGAAGAGGGUUUUCGGAUCGUAAGACUCUGUUGUUAGAGAAGCGGUAUCUAACCAGAAAGCCACGGCUAACUACGUGCCAGCCGCCGCGGUAAUUC
rnacentral:rRNA from 1 species